GAGUGAUCACAGUUUUUGAGAAUCAUGAUGAGGCAUUAAAGAAGAGGAGGAGUGUCUCAAGGGAGGUGAGCUGGAGGUGAUGCAAGGAUGUCUGAUCUGAAAGCAUGUUGUGGUCCGCUACACACAAGAGCAAAAGAAGAGCAGGAAGGAGCUCAGUGCCAAGACCAUAGCCACAGGAAGAAAACCAGCUCUUAGGGCUGCAGCUCUAAAGACAGGCCAGGUCAUUACAGGAACGUCUGCUCCCUUAGCCUUGCCAGACAGAGGAGGGUUAAGAAAGGAACUGCUGACCCUGAUAUGCAAACUGCCACGAGUGCUUCCUGCCUUUCUAUCAGCAUCAGAUGGCUAGCGAUGGAUGGCUGUAAGAUUGAUGUAAUUAACAUUUUAUUUUCAGGGCCACAGUGCUGGUUGGGUGCACCAGACAAAUCAACCAACAGAUUAAAGAGUGAUGGAGAAAGCUGUGUUUUGGGCCUCAUUUGGGAACAGAAUGGAAGAGCUGAGGGUGGAAGGGACCUCAGCAAGUCUUCUGAUCCAUGUUUCAACCUUCAUUUCCCCGAUAACCUCAAGGAGAGAGUUGCUUUUCCUGUUCUUCAAAUGAGUUCCUUGAAUUCACACUCUAUUUCUUUGAAUUUGCACAGACUGUUGAGGAACAGGCGGCAGGGUCACUCUA
rnacentral:lncRNA from 1 species